GACGGGUGAGCAAUACUUGGGUAUCUGCCCAAUAGUGGGGGACAACACGGGGAAACUCGUGCUAAUACCGCAUACGCCCUACGGGGGAAAGCAGGCUUCGGCUUGCGCUAUCGGAUGAGCCCAAGUCGGAUUAGCUAGUUGGUGAGAUAAAAGCUCACCAAGGCGACGAUCCGUAACUGGUCUGAGAGGAUGAUCAGUCACACCGGAGCUGAGACGCGGUCCGGACUCCUACGGGAGGCAGCAGUGGGGAAUAUUGGACAAUGGGGGCAACCCUGAUCCAGCCAUGCCGCGUGUGUGAAGAAGGCCUUAGGUUUGUAAAGCACUUUCAGUGAGGAGGAAAAGUUAGUGGUUAAUACCCACUAGCCGUGACGUUACUCACAGAAGAAGCACCGGCUAACUCCGUGCCAGCAGCCGCGGUAAUACGGAGGGUGCGAGCGUUAAUCGGAAUUACUGGGCGUAAAGCGCGCGUAGGCGGUUUGUUAAGCCGGUUGUGAAAUCCCUGGGCUCAACGUAGGAACUGCACCCGGCACUGGCAAGCUAGAGUACAGUAGAGGAAGGUGGAAUUCCUAGUGUAGCGGUGAAAUGCGUCAGAUAUUUGGAGGAACAUCAGUGGCGAAGGCGGCCUUCUGGACUGAUACUGACGCUGAGGUGCGAAAGCGUGGGGAGCAAACAGGAUUAGAUACCCUGGUAGUCCACGCCGUAAACGAUGUCAAUUAGUUGUUGGAACCCUUGAGCUUUUAGUACGCAGCUAACGCAUUAAGUUGACCGCCUGGGGAGUACGGCCGCAAGGUUAAACUCAAAUGAAUUGACGGGGGCCCGCACA
rnacentral:rRNA from 1 species